GAUGAAGAACGCAGCGAAAUGCGAUAAGUAAUGUGAAUUGCAGAAUUCAGUGAAUCAUCGAAUCUUUGAACGCACCUUGCGCCCUUUGGCCAUUCCGAAGGGCAUGCCUGUUUGAGUAUCAUGAACACCUCAACUCUUUAUGGUUUUCCAUGAUGAGCUUGGACUCUGGGGGUUUUGCUGGCUCACAGUCGGCUCCUCUAAAAUGAAUCAGCUUACCAGUGUUUGGUGGGUAUCAUGGGUGUGAUAACUAUCUACACUUGUGGUUUUUCCACCAGGUAACCUUCAGCAGUGGAGGUUCGCUGGAGCUCAUAGAUGUCUCUCCUCAGUGAGGACAGCCCUUUGAAUGUUUGAUCUCAAAUCAGGUAGGACUACCCGCUGAACUUAAGCAUAUCAAUAAGCGGAGGA
rnacentral:misc_RNA from 1 species